rnacentral:rRNA from 1 species
CAGCCUGCCCAGUGACAAAGUUCAACGGCCGCGGUACCCUAACCGUGCGAAGGUAGCAUAAUCACUUGUUCUUUAAAUGAGGACUUGUAUCAACGGCACUACGAGGGCUAUACUGUCUCCUUUUUCUAAUCAGUGAAACUGAUCUCCCCGUGAAGAAGCGGGGAUCAAGAUAUAAGACGAGAAGACCCCAUGGAGCUUUAAACUUACCACCCACCUCUGUGGUACCACACCCUUCAACACAAGAGACCUGCGUGCUAGUUUUAGGUUGGGGGGACCACGGAGUAUAAUUAAACCUCCACAACAAAUGGGCUAAUACCCUUAUCCACGAGACACAACUCUAAGAAUUACUAAACUAAUGCUUAUGACCCGAUAUUCGAUCAAUGAACCAAGUUACCCUGGGGAUAACAGCGCAAUCUACUUCAAGAGCCCCUAUCGACAAGUAGGUUUACGACCUCGAUGUUGGAUCAGGGUAUCCCGGUGGUGCAGCCGCUACCGAUGGUUCGUUUGUUCAACGAUUAAAACCCUACGUGAUCUGA